rnacentral:rRNA from 1 species
CCUACGGGUGGCAGCAGUGGGGAAUAUUGGACAAUGGGCGAAAGCCUGAUCCAGCCAUGCCGCGUGUGUGAAGAAGGCCUUCGGGUUGUAAAGCACUUUCAGUGGGGAAGAAAGCCUUGGGGCUAAUACCCUCGAGGAAGGACAUCACCCACAGAAGAAGCACCGGCUAACUCCGUGCCAGCAGCCGCGGUAAUACGGAGGGUGCGAGCGUUAAUCGGAAUUACUGGGCGUAAAGCGCGCGUAGGCGGUCUGAUAAGCCGGUUGUGAAAGCCCCGGGCUCAACCUGGGAACGGCAUCCGGAACUGUCAGGCUAGAGUGCAGGAGAGGAAGGUAGAAUUCCCGGUGUAGCGGUGAAAUGCGUAGAGAUCGGGAGGAAUACCAGUGGCGAAGGCGGCCUUCUGGACUGACACUGAUGCUGAGGUGCGAAAGCGUGGGUAGCAAACAGGAUUAGAUACCCGGGUAGUC